CCCACAAGGCAUUGGUCCUUUCCCAUUGGGAAGUCAUGAAUAAGAGACUAUGAAGCUUGCACGUCAGAUCUUCCUCAAUUAAUCCACCAUUAGCAUGUUCGGGAUCCACUACUGGAUGGUUAACAGCAGCUUUUGUAACUGUACGCCGACCAUAUCCAAUUAUGCUCUGCUAAAAAUGAACUCUUUGCAGACCAACCCUCUCGGCUGUCAGUAUUUUCCGUUUUCCUAUUUUAACGUUUGUGUAUAGUGGCAGGCGACAGAUGGUGUAGAUCAGAUCGAUUUGAUUGCAUUAGAUGAUUUUUUUCCCUUCCCCACUCCUUUCUGGAAGCUCGCAUCAGCUGAAGGCUAUCGCCUGGGACUCCUCGGAAGCGUGAGCAAGCCGCCACGCGAAGGCACUGGGGCACAGCCAGCGCGAGGCGCCGAGGUCCCUUCCCAGGGCUUGUUAACACUGUAACCCAGCACUCGGAGAGAAGAAGCAGCUCCCACUGCCCAGAGCCUACCUCACCGCACAUCAGAUGACUCCCUGGCUUCUACACACAGUUGGAGUUCCGCUUGAAACCUGGAUUUAGAGGGGUUCUCUGGCUGCCAUGGCACUCAAUCAAACCACCUAGAAUGGACUGGCCGAGACCAGACUGGGUACCAAGCAGAGAAGUGCAGAGGAAGGCACUGGGAGAGCACCAGAAUUGGAAAUAGAGCGGCCAUUUGGAUUUGGGCAGGAAGCAGCCGAGCACAGCUUUGGAUCCUUCUUUAGGGAAAUCGAGUUAUGGAUUUAUGGUCCCGGUCAAGCUCAGCCCAUCCCCAGCCAGGGGCGGGCUCAGCGAGCAGCAAGAGUUCUGGUGGCGGCGGCGGCGGCAGUAGCAGCGGCAGCGGUAGCAGCGGCAGCGGCAGCCUGGUCCUCUGACUCUCUUCGGUGACGGGUAUUCUUGGGUGGAUAAUACGGAUUACGUUGUUAUUGCUUAAGAAUACGCGUAGUCGAGGAGAGUACCAGCGGCAGGGGGGCAGCGGUCGCCCUCCCCAGCCCACCAGCUGGCCACUAAACGCCCGUGGUUGCCAAGGACGAGUCUCAAACAUCAACAAACUCAAGGCACGUCCCCCUCUCAGGUCAGCUGCGAAGGGACGGGAGCAAGAGAGAACCUCUCCCUCCUUCUACUUCGAGUUUUUCUGUGUUUGUUUGUUUGUUCCAAAUAUUAAUGGACGAUGAAACAGCACGGAUUUUUCACCUCCUAGAGAAGAGGAAGCCAUGGCCACCAACCCCCUCAAACAUGCACUCUUGGGGACAAUCCUGGGGAGCCUGGGGACAAUCGGACUUGGCAGGAGUUGGCAUGUCCAAGAUGGGGCUGGAAGGAUGACCCGGAGUGGAAGGCGUGGGCCAGGGCUCCAGGUCUCAGCUCUCCCGGCGUCGGACCACACAGCUUUGCCACCUUUGCACCUGGCCUUUCCCUCUUGUGAGCCAUCUGGGACCGUCCCAUCGAGGCGCUUCAAAGGUGGGAGAACUGAGUGCUGGGGACUAGAACGUACCGGGCGCACAGAAGAUUCCACUAGCGCGGCCAAACACUAAGCAGGUUUCCUCCCUGCGUGGUGAUCGUUGGUUAUGCACGGGCUGCGCAAGAAGACUAAAUUCCUGAUAAGUGGAAACUGCAGGAGAAAAAUCUUAAACUUAGAGGCCUGAGAAGCUCUCCCUCUCGUCGCUCUGGGACCGCUCUAAGCUGAGCUUACCUUCUCCCCCUGGAGGACAGGCCUUUCCCAGGCACGAAGUGAAUGUGCCCCACUGGGCUCUUGCCACAAGAGCAGUCUGAACCCUGGAGAGACUGACACCGAGGUGACUUCAAGGAGGCAGGCACACUUUCAUGCUUCACCAUCUAGGGUUUCGCCUUUCUUCUAACAUUUAGGAUUCCCAGUGAAGGGUACUCCACACACACCCUCUCCCUACCCCUAAUCCCACUCCAUUGUGUCUGAUCCCACAAUUACUCCCAGGUUAUCUCUACUCAGAGCUUUUGCGCUCAGUGAACGUUGUUGUCUGCAGGGAAAACGGGUGGAGCCCUUCUCGGAAGCUCCCGGGGGCGAGUCCAUUUUAAGAAUUAGUUGAAGUAGGAAAGAAAACACAGAUGCUGUCUUCGCAUUCGACAUUUUAUCAUCAGCAAGAGAAUAUGUAACUCCUGUUCUUUCCUUCAUUGUUCCAUGAAUUACCUUCUUUCUCUAGGGAUCCACCAGUUGGUGAUUUGGGGCUUUUAAAUAUUGUGCUUGUUAUGUGUUUGACAAAAUGCAAUAUGUCUACUGGUGGCAUUGUUUCAUUGGGAAAUUAGAAAAGUAGAGAGAAGCUACAUACUCUAGUUCUUAGGUGGUCUCUGGAAAGUUGGCCUCAUGCUGGUUGGCUAAAUAAUAAGUGUUUAGGAUUUGAAAGGAGGAAAGAGAGCCGAAGGCCUGGUGACAGUUUGUGAGAAGCAGAAGAUGUAGUAAUCUGGCAUUUGUUGAGGGGAUGAGGAAGAACUUUUGAAAUAUAAGCUAUUCUAUUCAGUUUUUUGCAAAUUUAUUGCAGUUGCUUCAUGGAAGAAUAAUAAUGUUUAGAAUAGAAUAAUUGCAAAUAAAUGCUAGUGAUGAAAUCUAAAGGAAACCUCUACUCAUAGUUAACAGAAAGUAUUUUGAUUGUUUUUGUUUAAAUACUUACCUCAUUGCUUCCUUUCCUUUGCAGAAUUAUUUUCCUAUGAAAGUUUCCAUUAGGUGUCAGUCUGACUGAACUGGUUCUUAUUUAAGUUUGGGGGGGGGGAAUGUUCCAUCAUCAGACCUUUUAAGAUAAGAAAGUAGGAAAAAUUAAAACUUUAUUAAAUUGAAAUUACUGGAGUUAAUUUUUCUUGUUACAAGGCAGCUUUUUUCUUCCCAGAAAAAAAUAAUGUUAAACUACAUCACCACUAGUCAAUUAUUGCUUUUGCCUUGUCACUGUUAUAGCCAAGAUUAAAAAAGCAUAAAACUCUUGUUUGUGCUUUUCAUGCUAGAUCCAAGUAGUAUUAAGUAAUCAUAAUUUUUGGAUGGCUUUUCCAUUGAUGUCCAAAUACUAGAAGGGUAAGCAGCCUUUUCUAAUAUUUGUUUUGCUUUACAAAGGUGAUAGAAAGUCUUCCUGGAAAAAAGAGAACAUGGAUUCAGCUUAGAUUGUCCAUUUGACAAUACUGAGGGCAUAGUAAAGGAGCAGGGAGACAAAUUGUGAAAAUUACUUUUGUCCACUAGUUUUGCUUUAAUAAAGCCUGCCUAAAUACUCA